rnacentral:rRNA from 1 species
UACGUAGGGGGCUAGCGUUGUCCGGAAUCAUUGGGCGUAAAGCGCGUGUAGGCGGUCCGGUAAGUCCGCUGUGAAAGUCGGGGGCUCAACCCUCGAAUGCCGGUGGAUACUGUCGGGCUAGAGUGCGGAAGAGGCGAGUGGAAUUCCUGGUGUAGCGGUGAAAUGCGCAGAUAUCAGGAGGAACACCAAUUGCGAAGGCAGCUCUCUGGGACGGUACUGACGCUGAGACGCGAAAGCGUGGGGAGCGAACAGG